UCUCAUACCUAGAAAUUAGAUUAAAGAAAAACAACUCAUACGGCCACUGACAGUUUGCUCUCUAAAUCUCCAUCGGGCAACCCAAUUGCCGGCCACCAUCAAAAUUCUUGGUUUCGAGAUUGUUACUGACAUCGUUCUUCUCCUUCACUUUUUAUCUUAAUCAUCAAAGUAUUCUGCUUACCAGGGAAUUUGCAUUUGCUGGUGAUUAAAAAAGGCAUCUUCACGGUUACACAGUUUCGCAAUUUGCUACGCACGUGAUCAAUAUUAUUGUUCACUUGGUCAAUGAACUUCAUUUUUUCUCAAAGAAGUGAAAGAAGUUAUUGAAUAAAGUAUAGGUCAAUGACUCAUACGAGACCAUAAUAGCUUAUGAGAGACAGCCUUAAAUAGCUAAGGUAAACGAGUAUCACAAACAUCAAGGAUACAUAAUAUUGCUGAAAAUGGUCAACCUUCUCACGGUACUACUCAUCUUUGUCCUUCCUUUCUAUUGUUUGAGUUUUCCUUCUUGAGUUUUUGUUACUUUUUUGUUGGAGUUGGGCUUACCUUGGAUGCUUCUUACUUUUAUAUAUUUCCUUUUCCCAUAGUUGUUGAUGUCAUAACUAUUUGAAGAAUUUCUACAUCAUUCCAAAAGAAUAUGGACGUAGAUUGGUCGUCAUUUUUAUUACUAAAGUGUCAUCCGAAUUACACUGAUUUUUCAAUUAGGGGUUAUUUGUCUUAUUUAUUUUUCUCCAUAAUGAUAAUUUGGGGUGGUCUUAUUAAAGUUAGAAUUGCGGGCCUAAGGCAUCAAAUAUUCUAUGGUCGAGAUACCUCAGAAGAUCAUCUCGAAGCCUCGAGGCUACAAGGCUAUGGUCGAGUUUCCUCCCUCGAGGUUCGUCGACGCCCGACCUUGGGACAAUGUUGACCACGGCUAUAGUAGAAAUGAGGAGUUCCUAAGGUACACGGCUAGGACUGACAGAGCCUAGUGGACUACCCUAACCCUAAAUUAGGGUAUCAUCUAGCUGUCCCAUCUCCGCUUCUUUGUCAUUAAUAUAUUUUGUACUAUGUUGGAAUUCCCCUUCUAUGUAAAGGGGAUCCUUGUCAUUUUGUAGACCUCUAUUGCUUCAGUCGCUCCACACAAAAUAUAUAAGAAGAUUUGCUCUGCUCUCUAA